UCCGCAUGCUGGCGUCCAGUCUCGCGCGGAAGCUUUCCCACCGGAUAAAGCUAUCUCCUCUCCGCAUCCCACGCUCGGCUAACAAACUCCGACCGCCGCGCAACGGCCCAUGGACCCGGGACUGCCCGCCUGUUUCCCCUCGAGCUCCUCGGGUAUAAGUACCGUCACCUCACGCCCUUGCCCUGCUCUGCUCUCCCUUGGACUCUCAUCCAUCUCGCCCAUACACCACGAAAUUGCGUGAGGGGGGAUGGAAUUCUUGCGGCGGCAACUGGCGGACUGCACGCGAUUCUCUGCCAUCGUCAGGAAUUGGAGCGCCAAACCGAGCUGGGUGAUCGCCGUCUCUUGCUGUAGGUGUUGAACGACUCCUCGGGCAAGGCGGUCAACCAGGGUCGUGGUAAUUCAUCGCCGAUGUCCGAAUUGCCGUCGUGGAUCCGCAUGGCGUGUGGGCGGCAUCCGUUGCGCCUAGAACUCCAUUAAG
rnacentral:lncRNA from 7 species